rnacentral:rRNA from 1 species
CCUACGGGGGGCUGCAGUGAGGAAUAUUGGUCAAUGGACGGAAGUCUGAUCCAGCCAUGCCGCGUGCAGGAAGACGGCUCUAUGAGUUGUAAACUGCUUUUGUACAAGGGUAAACCUGAAUACGUGUAUUCAGCUGAAAGUACUGUACGAAUAAGGAUCGGCUAACUCCGUGCCAGCAGCCGCGGUAAUACGGAGGAUCCAAGCGUUAUCCGGAUUUAGUGGGUUUAAAGGGUGCGUAGGCGGAUUGAUAAGUUAGAGGUGAAAUGUCCGAGCUUAACUCGGGAACUGCCUCUAAUACUGUUGGUCUAGAGAGUAGAUGCGGUAGGCGGAAUGUAUGGUGUAGCGGUGAAAUGCUUAGAGAUCAUACAGAACACCGAUUGCGAAGGCAGCUUACCAAUCUAUAUCUGACGUUGAGGCACGAAAGCGUGGGGAGCAAACAGGAUUAGAUACCCGGGUAGUC